rnacentral:lncRNA from 1 species
AUGUGCCUGUGUCUGUGUGUCUGCCCUACAGUGGCCUGGCAUCCCAUCCAGGGUGUAUCCUGCCUUAUGCCUGUUGCUUGCCAGGAUUGGCUCCAGCUCCCCAGUGAUCCUGAUUUGGGAGAAGCAGUAAGAAAAUGGACAGAUGAAUCUUUUAAAGGCAUUUUGAAGGAGGACAUAACAGUUUAUACAUUAAUAAAACUGCUCCUAGAUGUAUCUGGCGGGGCUUCGCCGGCUGCCAGCUCGGGGGCGGUGUGUCGUUGUGAAAGUCCUGCUUUCUCUAAAGGCCGGAACCAUCACUCUCCCCCUCCUCGUUCUGCUCUUCCGGAGUUGGCCCACGUCUGUGGCUUCGUCCUCUGCAAGAGGAAAUGAGAAAGCGUGACGAAGACCAGCUAUCAACCGGAGCCUAAGAAUAAAGGAAAUAGGGAGUUACACCUGAUGAAGGGGCCACAGGCUGUUGAGAAGGGUCAAGACGUCCUCCACAGAACCAGGCCGUCUCAAACUGGGUUGUCAAGGCACGCUUGGCUUGACCUUCACUCCACGGGGCUCUGCAUGACUGGGCGCCUCAGGACCAGUUCCUGCUCCUCACCUCACAACCUCUGUUCGUCCGCCAAGCUCGUUAACAUACUAUGGAUGUCAGGGCCUUUUCCUGCUGUGCUCCUAGGCUCUGGAAGUCUAUCCCCAAGGAAAUUAGAGAAGCAUUCAAAUCCAGACUCAUAACCGCCUUCUUCAGAAAGGGUUUUACGUACAGGAAUUGGUGUCUGUGUCUGGUCCUAAAUAGCUAAUCCCUUGUGUUUCCUGCUCAUUUUGUUAUCUCCUGUCUUCGUUGAUGUUUUUUUUUUUACUUUGCUGUAAAGUGGUUUGAGAAGAUACUUUUAAUGGCGCUAUAGAAAAUAAAGUUUCUUCCUCUCCUUAUUGUUGUUGUUGUUGUUAUUAUUGUAGGUAGGGUUGCUGACUGCCUUAGUUU